rnacentral:rRNA from 1 species
AUACAGAGGGUGCAAACGUUGCUCGGAAUUACUGGGCGUAAAGCGCGUGUAGGCGGACUGAUAAGUCAGAUGUGAAAUCCCUGGGCUCAACCUAGGAACUGCAUUUGAAACUGUCUGUCUUGAGUAUCGGAGAGGAUUGCGGAAUUCCUGGUGUAGAGGUGAAAUUCGUAGAUAUUAGGAGGAACACCAGUGGCGAAGGCGACUUACUGGACUGUAACUGACACUGAGGCACGAAAGCGUGGGUAGC